rnacentral:lncRNA from 1 species
GUACAAUUGGUUUCAUGCAUGUUUUUGGUUGUGAAGGCUCAUCUACUCAUCACUUGGCGGUUCCAUGCGAAAGCAAGUGUUAGAAUUUCUUAAGAAAUCAUACGGAAAUUUUCAGGAUGUUUACACCACCAUUAUUGUGUUUACAGUGUGUGGCUGUGGAGCAUCAAUACCUUUAAAGAUAGAAGUUUGUUUUCCACCAAGUUCGAAU